GGGGUUGUAGCUCAGUGGUAGAGCACUUGCCUUGCAUGUGUGAGGCCCUGGGUUCUAUCCUCACAACCACA
rnacentral:tRNA from 1 species